rnacentral:tRNA from 1 species
GGGCGAUUAGCUCAGUUGGUAGAGUAUCUCCCUUACAAGGAGGAGGUCACUGGUUCGAGCCCGGUAUCGCCCACCA